UACGUAGGGGGCAAGCGUUGUUCGGAAUUACUGGGCGUAAAGGGCGCGUAGGCGGCACGGCAAGUCAGGAGUGAAAGGCCUGGGCUCAACCGAGGAACUGCUUUUGAGACUGCCGAGCUAGAGUGCGGAAGGGGCAACCGGAAUUCCCAGUGUAGCGGUGAAAUGCGUAGAUAUUGGGAAGAACACCUGAGGCGAAGGCGGGUUGCUGGGCCGACACUGACGCUGAGGCGCGAAAGCCAGGGGAGCAAAGCGGG
rnacentral:rRNA from 1 species